UUAACAAUAAAUAGUUUAAUUUAAAACCUUAAUUUUGGAGAUUAAAAUUAUAAAAUUUAUUUUAUUGA
rnacentral:tRNA from 1 species